rnacentral:lncRNA from 1 species
CAAAAGGAAACACAGCCAGACCUCCUAUUUAAUGUAAUCCAUUCAAUGAAUGAAAUUCGUAUACUCUUUAUGUUUUUUAUGUAUCAACGGAUAAUUAUUUCUCUUGAUCGCUUCUGUUUAUAUUUCUUCACUUCCAAAAUUUAACAAAGAAUCAUCAUUCAUAUUCAAGUUUGAACUUCUACACUCUUCCCCACAAACACUACAAGAUUUCCAACUUAGAGUUGAACCAAACAAGGAAGGAGUUGAAGCAGGACAAGGUACGGAUGAUGCAGAACCAUAAAGUGAGGAUGAAGGUGCAGCACACGAUGAUGCAAACAAAUAGGAUGCUGGAGCUUGAUGGUGUUGGAGUUUGGUUUAUUGAAAACCAUUUGUGAGAAUUUUUGGGUGUAAAAGACGAGG